CUCUGCUGAACAUUUCUUGAUCUAAACAGACACAAAUCAGCCUAUUGUUUGGUGUGCCGUGGUACUGUACCCCCUUGGCAACAUUAUAAUGGAAUCGUCUGACCUACUUAUUUUUUUGGAAGU